rnacentral:rRNA from 1 species
GCCCCGUACACAAAAGCGCAUGUGCUGUGAGCUCGAUGAGUAGGGCGGGACACGUGGUAUCCUGUCUGAAUAUGGGGGGACCAUCCUCCAAGGCUAAAUACUCCUGACUGACCGAUAGUGAACCAGUACCGUGAGGGAAAGGCGAAAAGAACCCCGGCGAGGGGAGUGAAAAAGAACCUGAAACCGUGUACGUACAAGCAGUGGGAGCCCCACCACUAAGCCAGUGGUGAACUCCACAUACGCAUCCUUUGCUGAGGAUACGGUUAACGGAGCGAAAGCGACGUUCAACCUCAAAAGAAGCAGAGGGGGCUUAGUGGUGGGGUGACUGCGUACCUUUUGUAU